UACGGGGGGGGGCAAGCGUUGUUCGGAAUUACUGGGCGUAAAGGGCUCGUAGGUGGCCAACUAAGUCGGACGUGAAAUCCCUCGGCUUAACCGGGGAACUGCAUCCGAUACUGGAUGGCUUGAGUUCGGGAGAGGGAUGCGGAAUUCCAGGUGUAGCGGUGAAAUGCGUAGAUAUCUGGAGGAACACCGGUGGCGAAGGCGGCAUCCUGGACCGACACUGACGCUGAGGAGCGAAAGCCAGGGGAGCAAACGGG
rnacentral:rRNA from 1 species